rnacentral:rRNA from 1 species
GACGAACGCUGGCGGCGUGCUUAACACAUGCAAGUCGAACGAUGAAGGAGAGCUUGCUCUCCGGAUUAGUGGCGAACGGGUGAGUAACACGUGACUAACCUGCCCCUUUCUCUGGGAUAACGCUCCGAAAGGAGUGCUAAUACCGGAUACGAACUCUGAACACAUGUUCGGAGUUGGAAAGUUUUUCGGAAAGGGAUGGAGUCGCGGCCUAUCAGCUUGUUGGUGAGGUAACGGCUCACCAAGGCGACGACGGGUAGCCGGCCUGAGAGGGCGACCGGCCACCCUGGGACUGAGACACGGCCCAGACUCCAACGGGAGGCAGCAGUGGGGAAUAUUGCACAAUGGGCGAAAGCCUGAUGCAGCGACGCCGCGUGAGGGAUGAAGGUCUUCGGAUUGUAAACCUCUUUCAGUAGGGACGAAGCGAAAGUGACGGUACCUAAAGAAGAAGCACCGGCUAACUACGUGCCAGCAGCCGCAGUAA